rnacentral:rRNA from 1 species
UACGUAGGGUGCAGGCGUAAUCGGAAUUACUGGGCGUAAAGCGUGCGCAGGCGGUUUGUUAAGACAGAUGUGAAAUCCCCGGGCUUAACCUGGGAACUGCGUUUGUAACUGGCAAGCUAGAGUGUGGCAGAGGGGGGUGGAAUUCCAAGUGUAGCAGUGAAAUGCGUAGAUAUUUGGAGGAACACCAAUGGCGAAGGCAGCCCCCUGGGUAACACUGACGCUCAUGCACGAAAGCGUGGGGAGCAAACAGG